GAUGAACGCUGGCGGCGUGCCUAAUACAUGCAAGUCGAGCGAACAGACGAGGAGCUUGCUCCUCUGACGUUAGCGGCGGACGGGUGAGUAACACGUGGAUAACCUACCUAUAAGACUGGGAUAACUUCGGGAAACCGGAGCUAAUACCGGAUAAUAUAUUGAACCGCAUGGUUCAAUAGCGAAAGACGGUUUUGCUGUCACUUAUAGAUGGAUCCGCGCCGCAUUAGCUAGUUGGUAAGGUAACGGCUUACCAAGGCAACGAUGCGUAGCCGACCUGAGAGGGUGAUCGGCCACACUGGAACUGAGACACGGUCCAGACUCCUACGGGAGGCAGCAGUAGGGAAUCUGCCGCAAAGGGCGAAAGCCUGACGGAGCAACGCCGCGUGAGUGAUGAAGGUCUUCGGAUCGUAAAACUCUGUUAUUAGGGAAGAACAAAUGUGUAAGUAACUAUGCACGUCUUGACGGUACCUAAUCAGAAAGCCACGGCUAACUACGUG
rnacentral:rRNA from 1 species